ensembl:lncRNA
GCUGUGGGUUGGAUGUGUUGGCUGGCGGGUUGGUGGUGUUGGCAAGCUGUUUGGUUUCUUGGUGGUGUGGGUUGGUAGUGUUGGCUGGCAUGUUGGUGGUGUUUGCUGGAGGGCUGGUAGGCGGGAUGAUAGUGUUGGCUGAUGGUUUGGUAGUGUUGGCUGGUGGGUUGGUAGUGUUGGCUUGCGGGUUGGUAGUGUUGGCUGGCGGGUUGGUAGGUUGGUAGUGUUGGCUGGCAGGUUGGAUUUGUUGGCUGGCGGGUUGGUGGUGUUGGCAGGCUGUUUGGUUUAUUGGUGUUGUGGGUUGGUAGUGUUGGCUGGCAGGUUGGAUAUGUUGGCCCGGCAUGUCGGUGGUUUUGGCAGGCUGUUUGGUUUAUUGGUGGUGUGGAUUGGCAGGUUGGUAGUGUUGGCUGGCGUGUUGGUAGUGUUGGCUGGUGGGUUGGUGGUGUUGGCUAGCGGGUUGGUUGUGUUGGCUGGCGGGUUGGGGAUGUUGGCUGGCGCAUUGUUAGUGUUGGCUGGCGGGUUGUUAGUGUUGGCUGGUGGGGUCAUAGUGUUGGCUGGAGGGUUGGUAGUGCUGGCUGGAGGGUUGGUGAUGUUGGCUGACGGGUUGGUGAUGUUGGAUGACGG